CCUCCUCCUCACUCACUCACUCUCUCACUCUCUCUCUGAGUCUCAUCUCACUCUCUUCCUCAGUCUCUUCUCCUCGGUUCUGCAGUGCAGUGUGCACACACACACCGAUCGAUCACUCUCCUUCUCAGCCGAUCUACUUCAUUCAUUCACAGGUGAUCUCGCAGGUGAUCUCUGAUUUUUUUUAUCAUCACACAGCCGAUCUGCUUCAAAGGUGAUCUCUGAUUUUUUUCAUCAUCGCACAACCGAUUUUGAACAUUGCACAGCCGAUCUACUUCACAUCACAGGGUUCAUCAACCAAAUGCAUGGAAUUGGAAUUGGAAUUUGUUAAAGUUGAAUUGGAUGUGAUUCAUGAAGAUGAAGUUUGAUAUUUUAGAAGUGUUUCAAUUUUAUUUCAUGGGUUUCUAUUGAAUGAAGUU